CGCCGCACCGCGUUAGUCACUUGAUUCUUAGCAGUAGGAGCGAAGAGCGUAGAAAGGUCCUUAGGCAAGAACGCUGUCAAGCGUAACAACGGCGAGAGCCGUGCCCGCUAAAACUACAGCUCCCAGCACGCCUGCUGCACAUGCGCUGCGUCCGCCGGCCCGCAGCCACAAGCGCUGCCCGCGCGUGCGCGGUCGCCCCCGGCGCCGGCUCAGCUCGCUCCCAGCCCUCAGCCCGAGCCAUGGACGCGGAGGCGGAUGCGGGCUCUGUGGUUUCGGGGCUGUCGGGAGGGGAUGGUGCCGGCGCGGGCCCCGCCGAUGAGGACCAGGAGAUGGAGGGAGCCCCCGGCUGCUCGGGGUCGCGCUCCCUGCCCUUCGAGUUCGAGCGGAGCCGCUCGGAAUCCAGCGGCGAUGAGGACGAUGAAGAUGACGAGGAGGAGGAGAUGGAGGAAGAAGAGCUCGAGGGGGACUCCGGGGUUCGCUUUGGUACAGACGACGGCGAGCUCGACUCGGACGACGACCGGGAGCGUAUGAUAAACCUGGCAGAGUUGACCCCUUACAUCCUGUGUUCCAUCUGCAAAGGUUACUUUAUUGAUGCUACAACUAUUACAGAGUGUCUGCACACCUUUUGUAAAAGCUGCAUAGUGAGACACUUCUACUAUAGCAACAGAUGUCCAAAAUGCAAUAUAGUUGUACAUCAGACACAGCCCCUCUAUAACAUCAGACUGGACAGGCAACUACAAGACAUAGUCUAUAAAUUAGUUGUCAAUUUGGAGGAAAGAGAAAAAAAACAAAUGCAUGACUUCUAUAAAGAAAGAGGAUUAGAAGUGCCCAAACCAGCUGUCCCACAGCCAGUUCCAGCAAGCAGAGGAAGACCUCGAAAAGUUCUGGGCUCCGUGUUCCGGAUCCCACCAGAACUUGACAUCUCAAUACUGCUCGAAUUCAUUGGAGCUAACGAAGGCACAGGGAAUUUUAAGCCUUUGGAAAAGAAGUUUGUGCGUGUUUCAGGGGAGGCAACAAUUGGACACGUGGAGAAAUUCCUCAGGAGGAAGAUGGAUCUGGAUCCUGCUUGUCAGUGGGCUCACCCAAGUGAAAGUGAAGCAAACUAUCUUCUCCAUUCCAGAAGUAGACAUAAUAUGUGGUGAUCACCUGCUAGAGCACUACCAGACACUGAGGGAGAUCCGACAAGUCAUAGGAGAGAGUGCUGUACAGGAUGGCUUGCUUGUGCUGCACUAUGGCCUGGUGGUAUCUCCUCUCACCAUUCCUUAGAUUGCUACACUAUCAGGACGUGAAAGAAUCCAAAGUCAUGAAGCUCCUUCACUGCUGUUUCUCACCAAAGAACGCCAUCAUGUUUUCUGUGACAGGAAGCAAGUAGAAGAAACUACCACUGACUGCUGUAUGCUUGUAACUUACAUCUGACUUUAGCACUGUUUUUUGUUUGUUUGUUUUUUAAGUGUUCAGUACAUACAGCUAUCAAUUUUCACUUAGCUCAGGGACUUUAAAUGCUCAGAGUUGCUGCAUUUCUUUAAAUAAUUCUUAAACCCACAAGAUCUCACAGGGUAAACAGGCUUUUUCCUUAAGCUAUGGGAUUUUGCUUACUUCCUAAGUGUCUAGCUAGAACAGUAUUCUCAGGGAUGAUCUUCAGUGGGCAGUACACUGUAUUCUGGGGUGGAAACAGUCAUAGGGUGCAGAAAAGCUUGUAGUGAUCAUGUGACUUCAGAUGUGAUUCAGGAGAGGAAGGAGACUCUUCAAAUGGAGACCAAAAUAGGUAGGAAAUGAUGUCUCACAAACUUUAUUCAGUUGUUUUUCUUGAAGAAAAACAAUUUUGAUUGCACUUGAAAAAUAUUUGCUGGUAGUUUGACUUACAUCAAGUUGUGGGUCACGCAUCUCUAGUCUGAAUGGAGGUGAGCUGGCUGUAAGCUGGUUAAACUAUGCAUGGAGGGGGAAAAAAAAGCAUCACCUCGUUCUACCUGCUUGCUGUAUUUAAAAUAGCCUAAUUCUGCUGUCGUGUAAAAUCUGUCAGAUGACUUGACUAGCAGGAGCACAGUUUCCUUCAUUCCAGCACACAGCUUUCUAGCAGUAGUGAAAAAUGGUAGCUUUUUCCACUCUUCCCAGUAUGUGUUAGUGAAUUAUAGUGGAGAGUGGGUCUGAAGGGUUAAAUAGCAUAGUGUGUGCCUCUUCAUACCGCCUUUAUGGAGGGUAGUAGGUAACAUUUUUGUUCAUUUGUUUCAACGUAUUAAAUUACUAGGUUUUGGGACAGCUGUAGUAUUCCAGUUCUGUCCUGUUGAAGUUUUUCAUGGUCUCUUGUGCAGCAUUAAGGAACAGAGCUUUCUGUGCAAUGCUCUUGCUGCACGUUCUGUCUUAUGUGUGGGGAUUCAUGAAAGCCACUGCUAAGAACCAGGGUGCCUCUAUAGUCAGCAUAGUGAAGGGAAGAAGAUUCCUUAGUGAGGCAUUUUAGAGCACUUAAGUUAGCUCAAAUGUGUUUGCUUGCUGUCCUAUUUGCUGCAGUGCUGUCAGCAUACUAAUACUGGCAUUUCUUGUCUAAAGAAAGCUUUCAUGAAUCCUUCUUCAGCUCUUUACAGAAAGUGUUAAGUUUUGCCUGUGAAGGCAACACCGCAAAAAAAAAAGUCUUAUUUGAAGUAGUUCUUGUGAUGCUUCUAAAAAAAAAAGAACAAAGACAUGUCUAACUAUAAUUGCCUAUUUUCCCUUCGAAGUUUGUACAAAAGUAGUGUUUAAAAUACAUUAGAAAAUUGAUUGAAUUAUUUUGUAAAGACUUUGUGAGUUGUGUUGAUAAGAGACUAUAUAUUGUAAUGGUAAAAUAAAAUUUAUUUUAGCCAAUUUUAAAUUGAACACAUGUUU